GGAGGGAUGCCCGAGUGGUUAAAGGGGGCAGACUGUAAAUCUGUUGGCUUGCGCCUACGGAGGUUCAAAUCCUCCUCCCUCCAACA
rnacentral:tRNA from 1 species